GGUAUCUGCCUUUUGGUUUGGAAUAACAUGAGGAAACUUGUGCUAAUACCGAAUAAGCCCUUACGGGGAAAGUUUUAACGCCGAAAGAUGAGCUCGCACUUGAUUAGCUAGUUGGUAGGGUAAAAGCCUACCAAGGCUACGAUCAAUAGCUGAUUUGAGAGGAUGAUCAGCCACAUUGGGACUGAGACACGGCCCAGACUCCUACGGGAGGCAGCAGUGGGGAAUCUUGCACAAUGGGGGAAACCCUGAUGCAGCGAUGCCGCGUGAGUGAAGAAGGCCUUUGGGUUGUAAAGCUCUUUCGUCGGGGAAGAAAAUGACUGUACCCGAAUAAGAAGGUCCGGCUAACUUCGUGCCAGCAGCCGCGGUAAUACGAAGGGACCUAGCGUAGUUCGGAAUUACUGGGCUUAAAGGGCUCGUAGGUGGUUAGAAAAGUUGGUGGUGAAAUCCCAAGGCUUAACCUUGGAACUGCCAUCAAAACUUUUUAACUAGAGUAUGAUAGAGGAAAGUGGAAUUUCUAGUGUAGAGGUGAAAUUCGUAGAUAUUAGAAAGAACACCGAUUGCGAAGGCAACUUUCUGGAUCAUUACUGACACUGAGGAGCGAAAGCAUGGGUAGCGAAGAGGAUUAGAUACCCUCGUAGUCCAUGCUGUAAACGAUGUGUGCUAGACGUUGGAAAUUUAUUUUUCAGUGUCGCAGCAAAAGCGUUAAGCACACCGCCUGGGGGAGUACGACCGCAAGGUUAAAACUCAAAUGAAUUGACGGGGACCCGCAC
rnacentral:rRNA from 1 species